ACGGGAGGCAGCAGUGAGGAAUAUUGGUCAAUGGGCGGAAGCCUGAACCAGCCAAGUCGCGUGAAGGAAGAAGGUAUUAUGUAUUGUAAACUUCUUUAGACGUAGAGAAAUAAGUGCCUCGUGAGGCAUGAUGCUAGUAUACGUAGAAUAAGGAUCGGCUAACUCCGUGCCAGCAGCCGCGGUAAUACGGAGGAUCCGAGCGUUAUCCGGAUUUAUUGGGUUUAAAGGGAGCGCAGGCGGUCUGUUAAGCGUGUGGUGAAAUGUAGGCGCUCAACGUCUAACGUGCCACGCGAACUGGCGGACUUGAGUGCGGUGAACGCUGGCGGAAUUCGUGGUGUAGCGGUGAAAUGCUUAGAUAUCACGAAGAACUCCGAUUGCGAAGGCAGCUGGCGGUACCGUUACUGACGCUCAUGCUCGAAAGUGUGGGUAUCGAACAGGAUUAGAUACCCUGGUA
rnacentral:rRNA from 1 species